rnacentral:rRNA from 1 species
GACGAACGCUGGCGGCGCGCUUAACACAUGCAAGUCGAACGGAAAGGCCUGCUUUCCCUUGUGGAUUGCGGGUACUCGAGUGGCGAACGGGUGAGUAACACGUGAGUGAUCUGCCCCCAACUUGGGUAUAAGCCUGGGAAACUGGGUCUAAUUCCCGAUAGGACUGCAGGGUGGUGCCUGUGGUGGAAAACGAUUUUCUAGUGGUUGGGAUGAGCUCGCGGCCUAUCAGCUUGUUGGUGGGGUAAUGGCCUACCAAGGCGGCGACGGGUAGCCGGCCUGAGAGGGUGGACGGCCACAUUGGGACUGGGAUACGGCCCAGACUCAGACGGGAGGCAGCAGUGGGGAAUAUUGCACAAUGGGCGGAAGCCUGAUGCAGCGACGCCGCGUGGGGGAUGACGGCCUUCGGGUGGUAAACUCCUUUCGACCGCGAGGAAGCCACCUGGUUGGAAGGGUGGUGACGGUAGUGGUAGAAGAAGCACCGGCUAACUACGUG